GCAGUUGGGCGGUUCGUCGCUCAUUCACAUAUAGAGGAAUGAGAGGAAAGUCCGGGCAACAUAGAGCACCAUAUUUCCUAACGGGAAGCUAUCGGCGACGGUAGAGUAGCGUGACAGAAAAUAACCGCCUUCGCUUGCGGAGGUAAGGGUGAAAAGGCGGGGUAAGAGCCCACCGGGUGUGAUAGGAAUAUUAUGCGCCGCACGUCUUAUGGGUUGCAAAACCAAGUAUACCGGCAUUUAAGGGUUGCUCGUCCAUUGUCGGGGGGUAGGUUGCGAAGCGCCUUGAGCGCUUAAGCGACGUGGUGACACGUCGUUCAGAUAAAUGACGAACUGUCGUGGUAACCCCACAUCGUGGGAAGUGCCUCGUCAACAUAACCCGGCUUAUAGCCCAACUGCCAUU
rnacentral:RNase_P_RNA from 1 species